rnacentral:rRNA from 1 species
AGAACGAACGCUGGCGGCGUGGAUUAGGCAUGCAAGUCGAACGCGAAAGAGGGAGCAAUCCCUCGAGUAGAGUGGCGAACGGGUGAGUAACGCGCGAAGAACCUGCCUUCAACAGGGGGAUAACACUCCCAACGGGGUGCUAAUACCGCAUGAGACCACGGAGUCGCAUGGCUCUGAGGUCAAAGGUGGCCUCUAUUUAUAAGCUACCGGUUGAAGAUGGCUUCGCGUCCCAUUAGCUAGUUGGCGGUGUAAAAGACCACCAAGGCGACGACGGGUA